rnacentral:rRNA from 1 species
GUCUACGGCCAUGCCACCCUGAAUGUACCCAAUCUUGUCUGACCUCGGAAGCUAAGCAGGGUUGGGCUUGGUUAGUACUUGGAUGGGAGACCACCUAGGAAUACCAGGUGCUGUAGGCG